rnacentral:rRNA from 1 species
CGGACGGGUGGAGUAAGCGUGGGUAACCUAGCCUUGUACUGGGGGACGAAAGUUAGAAAUGACUGCUAAUACCGCAUAAGCGCACAGUAAUCGGCAUGAUACAGUGUGAAAAACUCCGGUGGUACAAGAUGGACCCGCGUCUGAUUAGCUAGUUGGUAAGGUAACGGCUUACCAAGGCGACGAUCAGUAGCCGACCUGAGAGGGUGACCGGCCACAUUGGGACUGAGACACGGCCCAA